rnacentral:rRNA from 1 species
GACGAACCGUCCAAACGUUAUUCGGAAUUACUGGGCUUAAAGGGUGCGUAGGCGGCGUUACAAGUCGGGUGUGAAAUCCCUCAGCUUAACUGAGGAACUGCGCCCGAAACUGUAGUGCUAGAGGGAGACAGGGGUGAGCGGAACUGAUGGUGGAGCGGUGAAAUGUGUUGAUAUCAUCAGGAACACCGGUGGCGAAGGCGGCUCACUGGGUCUCUACUGACGCUGAGGCACGAAAGCGUGGGGAGCAAACAGG